GCGGAGAGCUGGCAGAGUGGUCGAAUGCGGCAGUCUUGAAAACUGUUGACUGUAACAGGUCCGGGGGUUCGAAUCCCUCGCUCUCCGCACCA
rnacentral:tRNA from 1 species